rnacentral:rRNA from 1 species
CCUACGGGCGGCAGCAGUGAGGAAUAUUGGUCAAUGGCCGGGAGACUGAACCAGCCAAGUCGCGUGAGGGAGGACGGUCCUGCGUAUUGUAAACCUCUUUUGUCAGGGAACAAAGACUGGCACGUGUGCCCCGUUGAGUGUACCCGAAGAACAAGCAUCGGCUAACUCCGUGCCAGCAGCCGCGGUAAUACGGAGGAUGCGAGCGUUAUCCGGAUUUAUUGGGUUUAAAGGGUGCGCAGGCGGGGGUGUAAGUCAGCGGUCAAAGCCCGGGGCUCAACCCCGGCCUGCCGUUGAAACUGGCAGUCUGGAGUGGGAGAGAAGUAUGCGGAAUGCGCGGUGUAGCGGUGAAAUGCAUAGAUAUCGCGCAGAACUCCGAUUGCGAAGGCAGCAUACCGGGGCGCAACUGACGCUCAGGCACGAAAGCGUGGGUAUCGAACAGGAUUAGAUACUCGGGUAGUC